rnacentral:rRNA from 1 species
GGAUGAAGGCCUUCGGGUUGUAAACUGCGGUAGUAACAUAACAAUGUAAAUGAGUGUGUUACGGAAAGAGGUGGGUAACUACGUGCCAGCACCAGCGGUAAUACGUAGACCUCAAGCGUUAUCCGGAUUUAUUGGGCGUAAAGCGCAUGUAGGAGGUUCUGCGCGUCUUCUUUUAAAGACCACGGCCUAACCGUGGGAGUGGAGGAGAUACGGCAGGACUAGAGGAGGUUAGAGGUGCAUGGAGCGCACGGUGUAGGGGUGAAAUCCGUUGAUAUCGUGCGAAACACCAAAGGCGAAGGCAGUGCACUGGGGCCUUCCUGACUCUGAGAUGCGAAAGCGUGGGGAGCAAAAAGGAUUAGAUACCCCUGUAGUCC